AUUGAACGCUGGCGGCAGGCCUAACACAUGCAAGUCGGGCGAGAGGCGGACGGGUGAGUAAUGUAUGGGGAUCUGCCUGAUGGCGGGGGAUAACUACUGGAAACGGUAGCUAAUACCGCAUACCAUCAGAUGCACCCAUAUGGGAUUAGCUUGUAGGUGAGGUAACGGCUCACCUAGGCGACGAUCCCUAGCUGGUCUGAGAGGCUGAGCAGCCACACUGGGACGGAGACACGGCCCAGACUCCUACGGGAGGCAGCAGUGGGGAAUAUUGGACAAUGGGCGAAAGCCUGAGGCAGCCAGGCCGCGUGUAUGAAGAAGGCCUUCGGGUUGUAAAGUACUGUCAGUCGGGAGGCGUUACCGACAGAAGAAGCACCGGCUAACUCCGUGCCAGCAGCCGCGGUAAUUC
rnacentral:rRNA from 1 species